CUCAAUCUUUUUUAUUUUAUUGUUGACAGUAUUACAGAUGUCUCCCAUUCCCCCACUUUACCUCCCCCCUCUGCCCAGUCCCUCCCUACCCCCCAGGUCUUCAUCAACCUAUUGUUGUCUUUGGGUUAUGCAUAGAAGUAUACAAGUUCUUUGGUUUAUCUCUCCUUGUCCCCUGACCUGAGUCAUUUAUUUUUAAGAUGGUUUUAAAAAGUGACUUUCUCUUCUGUCAUUUCUUCUGCAAUGUUGAUAUUUUUCUGUGAAGAUGAGUACCCCCCUUUUUAAAAGUUUUAGUGUAAUUUUCUCAUUCAAUGUAAUAACCAUCUCUGUAGUUAUCAUUCUGAUGUUCAAAUUCAGCUCAAAUUUGGUUUCUGUGUCCUGUUGACAUGCCCCUGUCAGUCUCUGAGCAUUUCUUCACUUCCUGACACACAAGAUGCUUUCCAUGCUGACCUUACAUUUUCUCCAGCCCCGUUGCCUCUGUUUACGUUCAGGUGUGUUCUGUUCACAGAUCAGAUGCAUUUUCCUUCGCUGCCUGUUUUGUUUUUGCCCAAGUGGCACUGUACAUUCUUACUACUCACCGUCUGGAGAUUGUUCUCUGCUUUAUUUUUCUCCGUUGUGUUCCAUUAUAUGAAUAUACCAUAGUUUAUUUAACUAGCCUCCUUUUGAUGGUUAUUUAGUCGUAUCUUUUUUGCUUUUAUGAGCACUCCUUUAAUGUAUAAUCUUUUUGUCAUUUUUUAUAUUACUGACUAUAUUUGUAGGGUCAUUUCUAGAAGUGAGACUUCUAGAGAAUGUGCACCCCCCAUUGUGAUAGCUAUUCCUCACUAAAGCGAUGGUGCUGAUGUAUGUUCCUGUCUAGCCAUGAGGGGAGUGCCUGCUCUCCCUCUUCUUUGCCAAUCUGGUUCCAGAAACUCAUUAGAACCAGCCUGUGCAGAAAGGGGGAUGUCCCAGAACCCAAGCGCAGUUGGGCCUCACAAGGAUUACCUUUGGGACAAGGUUUCCAAGGCCCCCACCCAGUGUCGGCUACAUGGACAGCCCGUGCAGAGGCAGGCUGCAGUACCCUGUGACCUCUCCCAGGAUGCAUUCUGGCUCGGUGGCUAUGUGACCAUCAAGAAUGAAACGGGAUGACCAGCAAACGUCGAUAGUGCACUAGCAGGACCUGGCUUCAAAUCUUGGUGCAGCUACUUGCUUAUAGUGUAACCUGGCUUCUCUGUAAAAUGGAGAUAAUGGGGCUGCACGUAAAGCACGGUUGCCAAACCUUCCAUUUGUAAAGAAAACAAAAAACAUCUGCAAUGUGCAAUAAAGCGAAGUAUGCCUGUAUAUGUGAGUGGCUCUGUCAGUCACCAAAGGUGAAUAAGGUUUCUAGUUAGAGUUCAUGAAGUUCUCAGGACUUGUAUAGCAAGGUGCAGAAACAAAGCUGUGGGAUUCACUAAUUCUUCGAAGUGGAAUCUGGCAAAUGGUGCUUGGACAACUGGACAUUCACAUACAAAAAUUAACAAUAACAACUGCUGACAAGAUGUGGAGAAGCCAAACCCCAACUGCUGGUGGGAAUGUAAAUGGUGCAGACACUUUGGGAAACAGUCCGGCAGUUCCUCAAAAGGUUAAACACAGUUACCAUUUGACCUUGCAAUUCCACUUCAAGGUACAUACCCAAGAGAAAUGAAAACAUGCUUACUCAAAAACUUACACAUGCUUGUUUAUAGCAACAGUAUUUAUAAUAGCUGAAAAGUGGAAACAACUCAAAUGUCCAUCAACUGAUGAAUGGAAAAACAAAAUGUGGUAUAUCCAUACAACAGCUCUUAUUCAGCCAUAAAAUGAAGUACUGAUCCAUGCUAUAGUACGGAUGAAACUUGAAAUAUGCUAAAUGAAAAAAGCCAGUCUCAAUGGAUCACAUAUUACAUGAUUCCAUUUAUAAGUACUAUCCAGAAUAGACCAAUCAUUACAGGAAGUAUAGAUUUUAGUGGUUGCUAUGGGGUGGAGGUGGGAGUGACUACGAAUGGGUGGAGGGUUUAUUUUUGGGGUGAUGAAAAUGUUCUGAAAUUAGUGAUGACAAAAGCACAACUGUGAAUAUACUAAAACCACUGAAUUGUGCACUUUAGGUGCACUUUUAAAGUCAGUGAUACCUCAAUAAAGCUGUUAUAAAAAUGCCUUCACAAAUUUAAAAGUUUCAGUUUUCACUUAGAGAAAAAAAAAUGGACAGGCAAUCUGUCCAUUAUGUAAAACUAGAGGCCUAGUGC